GUGAGCACUCCCCUACCCUUCCUUGGCAUCAGUGAGCCAGGUUGCAGGUCCUCAUACAGUGGCUGGUGUUACUCUAAGAGGAGAUAGGGACAGCCCAGACUGUGGGUAAAUGCUAUCCCAGCAUAUAGGAGCACACACCAUGCUGCAGCAGCCCCACCAGUGAGAAUGUUCCCUGGUGUAAUUGUAAGAGGAGCUGAUGGCAACCCUGUACGUGCAUGUGAAUGCUGUCCUGGCCUGUGGGAGUGCCCACUGUGCUGCCAUGGCCCCGCCAGUGGGAACACAGCUUGGCUUGACUGUAAGAGGAGCCAGGGGCAGCCUUGUGUGCAUGUGCAAAUGUUAUCCCAGCCUGUGGGAGCACGCACUGUGCUGCCACAGCCCCAGUGAGUGGUCCAGCUUAGACCCUGUGAAGAAGCCCCACCUACCAAGCAGAGUGGCCAGUGUGACUGUAAGCAGAGGGAGCAGCAGCUUGGUGCAUGUGCAAAUGCUGUUCUGGCCUGUGGGAAUGCCCCGUACCCACGCAACUUACAACAGAUGGGGUGGGGUCAGAAACAUGGCUCCUGCUUCCCCCCAGCAGUAGCAGGUGGAAUCUGUGAAGUGGUGCUACCACAAAUGCACCAGCAAAGGAUAAGUUCAUCAAACACCAUGAAAAACUAUAGUAACAAUUCAGAGCAGAAGGAAAAUGACAAGGCUCCAGAAAACAACCCUGAAGUCACAGAAAUUGACAAUCUAAAUGACAGAGAAUUCAAAAUAGUUGUCAAAAAGAAACUCAAUGAGUUACAUGAAAACUCAGAAAGACGGUUCAAUGAGCUGAGGAAUAAAAUUAAUGAGCAUAAGAAAUACUUUACCAAAGAGAUUGAAACUAUAUAAAAAACCCCCAGAAAUUCUGGAUAUGAAGAAUGCAAUGAGAUAAAAAUUAAUCUAGAAUCCUUAAAAAAUAGAGCUGAUAUUAUGGGGGACAAAAUUAGUGAUUUAGAGGAUAGAAAUGUAGAAAUUCUUCAGGUGGAGGGAAGAAAGAACUAAGAUUUAAAAAAAACCAGAGAAAUUCUUUGAGAAAUAUCUGACUGAAUUCAGAAAAGCAACAUGAGGAUUAUAGGCAUUCCAGAGGGAGAAGAGAGGAAGAAAGGAGCAGAGAGCUUGUUCAAAGAAAUAAUAGCUGAGAACUUCCCAAACCUGGGGAAAGAACUGAACUUACAAGUACAUGAAGCCAAUAUAACUCCUAAUUACAUCAAUGCAAAAGACCUUAUCCAAGGUAUAUAAUAGUAAAACUGGCAAAAGUCAAUGACAAAAAAUAUUAAGGGCACCAAGGCAGAAGAAAACAAUCUACAAAGGAACCCCUAUCACUCUUUUGGUGGAUUUCUUGACAGAAACCUUACAAGCUAGGAGAGAAUGGAAUGAUAUAUUCAGAAUACUGAAAGACAAAAACUUUUAGCCAAGAAUGCUCUAUCCAGUGAAACUAUCCUUCAGAUAUGAUGGAGAAAUAAAAGCUUUCCCAGAUAAACAGAAGCUGAGGGAGUUCAUUGCCAGUAGACCUCCCUUACAAGAAAUAACAAAGGAAUCACUCAUACCUGAAAUGAAAAGGCAAAGGUCUACAAAGCUUUGAGCAAUGAGAUAAAUAGACAGAAAAAAUAAGAAAACUGCAGCUCUCUGUCAGAACAGGUUAGCAAACACUUAAUUAUAACAUGAAAGAUAAAUGGAAAGAAAGCAUAAAAAAUAACUAUAAAUACUUUAAUUUAAUCACAGACUCACAACACAAAACAGAAUAAUUUGUGACAACUAUGACUCAGAAGGGGAAGAGGAAAAGUGUGGGAUUUGCUUAGGCUAAUGGAAAUAAGAAGUUAUCAGAAAAUGGACUAUCUCAUCUAUGAAAUCUUUUAUACAAACUUCAUGGUAACCACUAAACAAAAAAACAGAGCAGAGACACAAUUCAUAAAUAAAGAGAAAACUGAGAAAACCACCAAACUGUAAUGGCAGUCAGAAAUACAAGGGAAGAGAAACAACAGAAAUACAGAACAACAAGAAAACGAGAUAAAAUGGCAGUAUUAAUCCCUCCUAUGUCAGUAAUCACCCUAAAUGUAAAUGGAUUGAAUUCUCCAAUCAAAAGAUGCAGAGUAGCUGGAUGGAUUAAAAAACAAGACUAACAAUAUACCGCCUCCAAGAAACACAUCUCAGCUCUAAAGACAAACACAGGCUCAGAGUGAAGGGACGGAAGAUGAUACUCCAAGCAAAUGGCAAACAAAAGAAAGCAGAUGUUGCCAUACUUAUAUCAGACAAAGCAGACUUCAAGAUAAAAAAGGCACAGAGAGAAAAAGAGGGGCAGUAUAAAAUGAUAAAAGGGAUUUCCUACCAAGAGGACAUAAUCUUUAUGAAUGUAUAUGCAUCUAACACAGGAACACCAAAGUAUGUAAAGCAACUUAACAGACCUAAAGGGAGAAAUUAACAGCAACACAAUAAUAGUAGGGGACCUCAGCUCCCCACUUACAUCAAUGGGUAGACGAUCCAGACAGAAAGUCAAUGAGGAAAUAGUGGAUUUAAAUGAAACACUUGGUCAGAUGACUUAAUAGAUAUAUAUAUAGAGAAAACAUUCCAUCCAAAAAGAGCAGCAUACACAUUCUUCUCAAGUGCACAUGGAAUGUUCUCAAAGAUAGGCCAUAUGUUGGGAAAGAAGGCAAGCCUUCCCUAAUAAUUAGUGAUGUUCAACAUCUUUUCAUGUGCCUCUUGGCCAUCUGUAUAUCUUCUUUGGAAAAAUGUCUGUUCAUAUCCUCUGCCCAUUUUUUGAUUGUCUAUAAUUAACAAGACAAAAAAUAAAAAAGUGUUGGAGAGGAUGAGGAGAAAAGAGACCCCUCAUACACUGCUGGUGGGAAUGCAAACUGGUGCAGCCACUAUGGAAAAUAGUAUGGAGAUUUUUCAAAAAAUUAAAAAUAGAACUACCAUAUGACCCAGGUAUCCCACUACUGGAUAUUUAUCUAAAGAACUAGAAAUCAACAAUUCAAAGAGAUUUGUGCACCCCUGUGUUCAUUGUAGCAUUAUUCACAAUAGCCAAGAUGUGGAAGCAACCUAAGUGCCCUUUAACUAAUGAAUGGAUAAAGACGAUGUGGUAUGUAUAUACAACAGAAUACUACUCAGCCAUAAAAAAGACAAAAUCGCCCCAUUUGCAACAAUGUGGAUGGACCUUGAGGUUAUGAUGUUAAGUGAAACAAGCCAGACAGACAGAGAAACACUGCAUGAUUUCACUCAUAUUUGGAAGAUAAACACACAGAUAAAGAGAACAGAUUAGUGGUUACCAGAAGGGAAGGGGGUUGGAGGGGGUUGCAAAAGCAGCAGAGGGGCACAUAUAUACGGUGAUGGAAAAAAUUAGACUGUUGGUAGUGAGCAGGAUGCAGUCUAUACAGAAACUGAUAAAUAAUAAUGUACACCUGAAACUACACAAUGUAAUAAACCAUAAUGACCUCAAUAAAAUAAUUUUUUAAAAUAAAAAAAAUAAAGAAUAUAAGAAUCUCAAUCUUUUGGAGAGAAGCAAAGCCAGGACGGACUCCUCUGAUGCAGGGCAUGGACGCUCCAAGCAGUGAAAUGAUAACAAGGCCAGGCCCGGUUCACGUCGGUUUACUUCAUUUUUAACUGUCUGCAUCAGACUAUCGAAACAGGAGAUUUCAACCCAAGAAACCCAAGCCUAUUGCACUAGGAAGUGGUGAUUCCCCCUGAGUCAGACUGGAUCAUAUUUGAGGUCCUUUAAAACCUGGAGGUUUGAAGAAUUUUUUUUUUAAAUCCAGAGGAGGAAGAUUUCAGUUAGUGAUUGAACUGGACCUAGAAUUUUGGUUUCUUAAUUCCAAAUUCCACAUUCUGGCUGUGAAUAUGAAGGCCCCCCUCAUCCCCCUCCCUCCAGCCCAGUGCACCUCUGUGCCUUGAGGCCAUGGUUAUCUUGAACCACGUCUUACCAUACUCCUUUUUCUCCCCAAAGAUACUCCAUCAGUGGAGAGAGCCUGAAUUGGAGCUUCAUCAGACUGCAGACUUCUUUAGGGAGGAAUGGGUUGAAAGAUGCUGGAGAAACAAUCCUUUUUCCUGAGAACACUACGUAUCAUAAAAUCUCCAACAUGGCCUUCAAAAGGAAACAGAGUUCAAAGAAAAUAAGGAAGGGUUUGCUCAGAUCUUCCAGAGAAGGAAGGAAUCUCGUUGAAAAAACUAGGACAUCCUCUGUCUGACGGGGCAACUGAGAACCAGAGAAGUAAACAAUUUUGGGGAAGAAUAAAAGCAUUCAGGGACUUUGGUGAGUAUCUUAAUGCUGAAAAGAUUUGAGGAGAUUUGGAAGUAUUGCAGGUGACUACUAAAUAACUGGGGGAAUUUUCUUCUGAAUGAUCUUAUCUAGAAAGGGAAAAAGAGAACUUACGUUUAAUGGGCAUUUGCUCCUUGGUAUUAGAUGACACACACUCUUACACACGCAUAUAUAUUGAUUUCAUGCAUAUAUGUUAGAUUACACAUGUUAUAUAUAUUUACAUUUUACAUAAUAUAGUAAUUUAAAAUGUAACAAUUGCAGUAAACCUGUGAUAUAAGUAUUACUUCCCCAUUUUAGUGAUGAGGAAUGAAAGGCUCAGAGAGUUCCUUGUGUGCGGUCGCGCAUAAGAAGAACAAUGAGGAUUUGUGCUGAAGUCUACCAAAUUCCAGAGCCUGCUAGUUUUUCCACUAUAUAUUGAUGUCCAGAGAAUAACUCAAUUGAAAAAUUUAAAAAUCAAAGUGUAUUUUGAUAUGCUCCAUCACUGACUAGGCGUGUGACCUUGGG
ensembl:lncRNA